CCUACGGGGGGCAGCAGUGGGGAAUAUUGGACAAUGGGGGGAACCCUGAUCCAGCCAUGCCGCGUGUGUGAAGAAGGCCCUCGGGUUGUAAAGCACUUUCAGUGAGGAAGAACGCCUGGUGGUUAAUACCCAUCGGGAAAGACAUCACUCACAGAAGAAGCACCGGCUAACUCCGUGCCAGCAGCCGCGGUAAUACGGAGGGUGCGAGCGUUAAUCGGAAUUACUGGGCGUAAAGCGCGCGUAGGUGGCUUGAUAAGCCGGUUGUGAAAGCCCCGGGCUCAACCUGGGAACGGCAUCCGGAACUGUCAAGCUAGAGUGCAGGAGAGGAAGGUAGAAUUCCCGGUGUAGCGGUGAAAUGCGUAGAGAUCGGGAGGAAUACCAGUGGCGAAGGCGGCCUUCUGGACUGACACUGACACUGAGGUGCGAAAGCGUGGGUAGCAAACAGGAUUAGAUACCCUUGUAGUC
rnacentral:rRNA from 1 species